AUUCGUUCCUGAAAUAACGCUCCAAGAAAUGACGAUUUGUAACUGAUCAGAGCCAUUUUUAUAUAGUGGGAGUUAUCCCGGGAUCCCAAUCAGUCUCAUGUCAAGUAGGAAUAUUACCUAAUUUUACUUCUUUAUUUUGGCAUUUUGUGUGCUUGUAGUAUUGUGAUCAUGGCUGGGACAGCUAUUCUCCCGAUGGGAUUCAAGGCCAGCAUGGAUAUGGACAGAGCGAUCAGGAAGCAAACUAUUUUGAUUUACAAUGGGACGUGCGGCCCAGGUGUCUCCUGCAAGGAGGAUUCAAUGGGGUCAUGUUCAAUGAGUACUUUGCAUUUCACCAGCUGGUAGACGUGCGUGAUUUGGUGGAACCGGUAAUGCCAGAUGACUGGGACAAGUAUUUUCCUGAGGGUGUUCAAAACCAGUAUUGCAUGUCCUUAUCCCAGGACCAAGCCACCGACUGAGGGACCUGGAACCUAACUACAUUGCUGAGAAAACACAAAACAACAACAACAACAACAACAACAAAAACAAACAGUAUUUUGUUGACAAAGGGUGGGAACAUUUGUCUAUGGGGAAAACAAAAUAAAUAAUAUAAAUCUCACAUGAAGGUGAGAUGAUGAACAAAAGUUUGAAAUAAAUUGCAAGCAACUUGGAAAAAAACUAAAACAAAAGACUAGUAAAACAAAUAAUUCAGAAACCUGAAACUUUAAACUGGAGCUGCUUUUCUAAAAAGAGCUAAAUAUACACUGAAAACCCUUGACCAGAAGUUAAAAGUCUACCUGGCGUUCAGUAGUAACAUGGAUAUUGUUACGACACAAGUUCUGAUUCCAAAUUAAUAAAAUGAAAUGAACGAGACUUGAAAAUGUUCCCUAAACGCCAAAAGUUGGAGUGAACAGGGUCUGGUUAAACUCUACAAAAUCCAAAAUUAUUAUUUUUUAGUUAAACCAAAGUUAAACCGUGGUUUUGAUGAAAUACUACGUCCCCUCACUCAGUACCUGUCAGUACUAAUCCUUUUUGAAUACAAAAUUGCAAAGAUUUAUAAUCACGAUUGUAAUUCGCAUUUAUUUCAAACUAGUUUAUUUAAAACGGCGAAGGAAGAAUAUGCUUGCCUUUGAGUUUCUUGUCCUUGGGUUUACCAAUUACUUUAAUAAAGGCUGUUUAACAUGAAUGGUUAGUGCACUAGGUUAGAAAAAGAAAACAAUGCAUGUGACAUAAAUCAUUGGCAUAGCCAUUGUGACCAUUGCAUGAAAUCGCCAUGUUUAUUCUGUUUAAAUUAAUAUCUUAAAUACGUUUAAGCCCUCUUUAUUGUUAUACAAUUUAAUGUCAAGACUGAAAUUAUAUUUCCCAUUGGUUUCUUCAGUUUUGAAGGUAAUAAAGUAUGUUUGUACAACAGUAACUAACCUUCUGUUCUUCGAUAAAAAAAAAAAAAAAAAAAAACAUUGAGUAUUUUCAGGAACAUGUGCUCCUGGGGUUCGGCUGACCUCACAGUCUGAAAAAAAGUGUUAGUGUGAGUGCCCUGUGUCAGUCCUGCCGGACUCCGCCUGAAAGUGCUGCCUUUUUUAGGGUUGUGGUAUACAAAAGAGAGAUUUCAUAACCAGCAGCGGAUAGGAAAGGGUAGUGAAAACUGCCAUUGGGGUAUCUAGAAGGCCUUUUAGGAAUAUGCCUCGACCAAACACAUCUAAUUAUAACUAAAUAUUUGGGUUCUUCAAUCCAAUGUAAAGAAAAGGGACGCAGUGGGCAUAUUCAGUAUUGUAACCCUUUCAAAUGGCAAAUGGUAACCCUUUCACAUACCUACGGUAGGUACGUAUAACUAACCCCAACUACAAGGAACCUUUUUUACUAUCCCUUAAAGAGAAAUAUUACCCUCCCCAAACAAUAAGAUACUCUACCCCUAUAUUAUCCUUACUUACUACACCUAACCAGGAAUAUAUAUAAUUAUUUAACCUAUAAACCCCAUAUUCGUAUUUUUAAUUUCAAGUUCUAAUCAAAUUUAAUUUACUGGUGACCUCGAUUAGGGUGCUUCGCUAUAGAAGCCAAUCGCUCAACAUAACCGCUAACAUAAUUAUAACUUUCAGUUUGUUAUUUUCCUUUCCCAAGCGCGCAUACUUUGCCACACCCGCUAUAGCCACUGUGUUCGAUCACAGCAGUUUGGGAACCCUUGUACUAAGUUAGGAUUCCAUAUUUCAGUACUAAGUAUGCCACAAAGGGUUCAGUUAAAGUGCUACCGAAACGAAAUUUUCGUAUGUGAGAUUUUUGCUUAGUAAUAAAGUUUCAACCUUACUUAGAAACACUGAAGACUUCUUUUUUCGCAUACGGUAAGCGAAAACUGUUUUUUUUAGCCGUUCAAAGUUGGCUGGUUAAGCCCAAAAUUGGCGGCCAUCUUGGCGCGGCCAAAACAGCUUAGUGACGUCACUGGUUGUAUUACUCUCAUGCCGCGCUGAAAAUUUAGAGCAAUUAUGGGAGAAGAGAAUACUGUUCGAAGCCCCCC